UCACCAUAGGACCUUCCUCCUGAUGUCUGAUAAUGCUUGUACUUCUCAGUCCUCCAGCAGUACACCUACUCACUCGCAGCUUCUUGCAUGCCGCUUGCUCCCAGCUCCUCACAAGCACUUCCUCU